CCUACGGGAGGCAGCAGUAGGGAAUCUUGCACAAUGGGGGAAACCCUGAUGCAGCGAUGCCGCGUGAGUGAAGAAGGUCUUUGGGUUGUAAAGCUCUUUCGUCGGGGAAGAAAAUGACUGUACCCGAAUAAGAAGGUCCGGCUAACUUCGUGCCAGCAGCCGCGGUAAUACGAAGGGACCUAGCGUAGUUCGGAAUUACUGGGCUUAAAGAGUUCGUAGGUGGUUAAAAAAGUUGGUGGUGAAAUCCCAGAGCUUAACUCUGGAACUGCCAUCAAAACUUUUUAGCUAGAGUAUGAUAGAGGAAAGCAGAAUUUCUAGUGUAGAGGUGAAAUUCGUAGAUAUUAGAAAGAAUACCAAUUGCGAAGGCAGCUUUCUGGAUCAUUACUGACACUGAGGAACGAAAGCAUGGGUAGCGAAGAGGAUUAGAUACCCUCGUAGUCCAUGCCGUAAACGAUGUGUGUUAGACGUUGGAAAUUUAUUUUCUGUGUCGCAGCGAAAGCAAUAAACACACCGCCUGGGGAGUACGACCGCAAGGUUAAAACUCAAAUGAAUUGACGG
rnacentral:rRNA from 1 species